rnacentral:rRNA from 1 species
UAAGAGGUCCCGCCUGCCCUGUGACUAUACGUUUAACGGCCGCGGUAUUUUGACCGUGCGAAGGUAGCGCAAUCACUUGUCUCUUAAAUGGGGACCUGUAUGAACGGCAUGACGAGGGUUUAACUGUCUCCUUUUUCAAGUUAAUGAAAUUGAUCCCCCCGUGCAGAAGCGGGGAUACGAACAUAAGACGAGAAGACCCUAUGGAGCUUUAGGCAACAAGCAGACCGUACAAAAUGUCCCCUAAUUAAAGGAACAAAACAUACGAAACCUGACCCAAUGCCUUUGGUUGGGGCGACCGCGGGGAAACAAAAAACCCCCAUGUGGAAUGGGACCACCCACCCUCCAAACAAGAGCCCCCGCUCUAAAAAACAGAACAUCUGACCUACAAGAUCCGGCAAAGCCGAUCAACGGACCGAGUUACCCUAGGGAUAACAGCGCAAUCCCCUUAUAGAGCCCAUAUCGACAAGGGGGUUUACGACCUCGAUGUUGGAUCAGGAUAUCCUAAUGGUGCAGCCGCUAUUAAGGG